GAGUUUGAUUCUGGCUCAGAUUGAACGCUGGCGGCAUGCUUUACACAUGCAAGUCGGACGGCAGCACGGGUGCUUGCACCUGGUGGCGAGUGGCGAACGGGUGAGUAAUGCAUUGGAACGUACCGAGUAGUGGGGGAUAACUGUCCGAAAGGAUAGCUAAUACCGCAUACGACCUCAGGGUGAAAGCAGGGGACCUUCGGGCCUUGCGCUAUUUGAGCGGCCAAUGUCUGAUUAGCUAGUUGGUGGGGUAAAGGCCUACCAAGGCGACGAUCAGUAGCGGGUCUGAGAGGAUGAUCCGCCACACUGGGACUGAGACACGGCCCAGACUCCUACGGGAGGCAGCAGUGGGGAAUUUUGGACAAUGGGCGCAAGCCUGAUCCAGCCAUGCCGCGUGUCUGAAGAAGGCCUUCGGGUUGUAAAGGACUUUUGUACGGGAAGAAAAGGCAGAUGCUAAUAUCAUUUGCUGA
rnacentral:rRNA from 1 species